GACGAACGCUGGCGGCGUGCUUAACACAUGCAAGUCGAACGGAAAGGCCCUGCUUUUGUGGGGUGCUCGAGUGGCGAACGGGUGAGUAACACGUGGGUAACCUGCCCUUGACUUUGGGAUAACUUCAGGAAACUGGGGCUAAUACCGGAUAGGAGCUCCUGCUGCAUGGUGUGGGUUGGAAAGUUUCGGCGGUUGGGGAUGGACUCGCGGCUUAUCAGCUUGUUGGUGGGGUAGUGGCUUACCAAGGCUUUGACGGGUAGCCGGCCUGAGAGGGUGACAGGCCACAUUGGGCCUGAGAUACGGCCCAGACUCCUACGGGAGGCAGCAGUGGGGAAUAUUGCAAAAUGGGCGGAAGCCUGAUGCAGCAACGCCGCGUGCGGGAGGACGGCCUUCGGGGUGUAAACCGCUUUCGCCUGUGACGAAGCGUGAGUGACGGUAAUGGGUAAAGAAGCACCGGCUAACUACGUG
rnacentral:rRNA from 1 species